GAUGAACGCUAGCGGCAGGCCUAACACAUGCAAGUCGAGGGGCAGCACGUCUUCGGAUGGUGGCGACCGGCGCACGGGUGCGUAACGCGUAUGCAACCUACCUCUUACAGUGGGAUAGCCCAGAGAAAUUUGGAUUAAUACCGCAUAGUAUGCGACAUCAGCAUUGAUGACGUAUUAAACAUUCAUGGGUAAGAGAUGGGCAUGCGUUCUAUUAGUAGUUGGAGUGGUAACGGCACCCCAGACAGCGAUAGAUAGGGCCCGUGAGAGGGGAGUCCCCACCACUGGUACUGAGACACGGACCAGACUCCUACGGGAGGCAGCAGUGAGGAA
rnacentral:rRNA from 1 species